AUGAGUGGGGGAGGGACAGAGAGAGAGGGAGACACAGAAUCAGAAGCAGGCUCCGGGCUCUGAGCUGUCAGCACAGAGCCUGAUGUGGGGCUCAAACUCACAAACCGUGAGAUCAUGACCUGAGCUGAAGUCGGUCGCUCAAGCGCCCCGCAUAUAUUAAAUUGUAAUCACACACACACACACACACAAUAGUAAUUUGUUGAACAUCUCAAAGUAUUGUCAUUUUCUACAUAAAAGCCAAGUGAUGCUUUCGUAUGAAAUAGCUUAUAAAAUCUAUAGCCUACAAAAUGUAUAAAGGGACUAAACAGGUGAAAAUGUUUUGUUACCAAAAGAUUUGUUACCAGGUAACAAGGUUAAUCAACAAAAUAAAUGAAGUAUUUAUACAUCAUUUAUUUUUCUACAUGGUAAUAACAGCAGAUAAGUAAUAGCUGAUGCAUACUUCAAUUGCACUGAUUCAGGAAAUAUUUUAAAAUAUUUUUUAUGUAUCAGAAUGGAUAUCUAUACUAGUAUCUAUCUAUCAAUCUAUCAAUUAAGAUUACAUUUUGCUUCAUAUAACAGAGAAACCUGACCAAAAGAAAAAAAAUGUCUUAAAUAAGCCUAUAAGUCAGAGGUUUAUUUAUUUCAUGCACCAAGAUGUUUUGAGUCUGCAGCUCAGGUUUGGUGGAAAGAACAUAAAGGUCAUUCAGGACUUAGACUCCUCUCUCUCCUUUAGUUUGUGGCUUUUAUCCUCAUUGUAGCAGUAAGAGUAAUGAUAGAUGAUGUGUAACAAGUCUCUCUCUAUAUUAGCGUCUUUAAUGUGGUAAAAUUUCAUUUCCUACUCUUCUAAAGUCUCAUGCCCUACCUUAAAAUUUAACAAAACAUGGUUAAAUUAUUAGUGUAACAUUUGACUUUUUAAAGAAAAAGUAUCAUGCCUUACUUAUCUUUAUAGAUCACAUUUUAUAUGCGCAAAAAUGAGUGUUGGACUACACAAUAUGGUAACAGUAACUGUGUUGUGUGUUUCUUACGCUUCUUCUUAUGCACCAUUGCCUACACAUAGCAGAAAAGCAUGAGGGCCAGAGCACUGAACGCAAUCAUUUUGUGAUCUAUUAAUACUUCUGAAUUCUUUAGAAACCUAUUCCCUGUAACUUGUAAUGAAAAUGGGCUUAAAGUGACACAAAAAGGCAGAGGGACAGAAAAGGGAAUUUUUUUCCUGUUUUGACAAAUUUCAACUAUACCUUUUAGGUGCUAUGUUUUCCUCACAAGAUUCAAGCUGGGGGAGAAAAAAGUGAAAGAACAAUUUGAAAAAAGAACUCGUUACAAUAAGGAAAAAAAUACUAAUUGAAUGUUCUUUAACAGAUUAAUUUAAUAAUAUACAUUUAUUUCUUAUGUGCUCGCAUGAGUGUGUGUGUGUGUAAGAGAGAGAUAUUAUACAGUUCCCUGGUAUGAUUGGUAGUGAACAACGUCUGGGAACACUAAUAAAAACACCUGGUUUUACCUUUGUAUUUAAAGUAGAAACUUCUUGGAAUUGCAGAAAUUCAUUGCUUUUCUGCUAAAUCAUUAGGUAUCAAAUGUGGUGGACAUAAAUGCAUAAAUAGUGGAUUCUAUUGUUCUAGGAUGUUCAAACUAUGUAACUGAUUUUUUUUUCUUUCAUUUCAGGCAUAUUGACAUAGGCAUCGAAAAAACCACAAACAAAUUCUUGUCCAGUGUCCUCAACUACCUCCAUCUUUACUUCAUGAAAUGAUUAAAUACUGAAUUCUGUACACCAGUUUUGGAAAUCAGAGGAAUAUUUCCAUUCAGGAUCAGAACAGCUAUUUUAAUUUCAUGUUCACAAGUUUGUUAAGUGUAUCCAUUCUUGAUUAGACCAUUUUCUCAAGUCAACAUUCAGAUACAAAGGAGAGAAGUAACACCACGGACUACAUGUUAAUUACUGCAACAAACUCAUUAUAUCCAGUGCUUGCACACAAGCAAAAGUUAUCUGCCAUCCUCUCUCCUUGCAUUCAUCUGUCUUUCCUUAUCUGUGUUCUUUUUUUUUUUUGUCCUCUUGCCAUUUGGUGGCAUAUUCAUUUUUCAAUCACUUUACCUUGGCAUCACUGACAAACCUUACUCUUUUUAUUUUCUCCCACAUCCAGGCUGUUCAUCCAACACAUUUCAAAAUUUUGUUAUUUCUUCCUGUUCCUGUCUUUAAAAGCUGUCACUUCCUUUCUGUUCCUGAAGACAAAAAUCCCCAUCCUAGCAUUUUUAUGUACAACAGCGUGUCCUCUUCUCAAAAUUUAUUCCGUGGUUAAACCACAUAAAUUGGCAGAUAAUGUUCCUAUUUUCCAUUCAAGGUGAUUACACAUUUUACAUUAAGCUGCUUGCAAGUUACUUCUGACAUUACUGCAGUUGAACUCAUUUUUGACUUACCCUGGGACUUCCCAUUCAGACUUUUCGAAUAGAAUCUCCUGCCCACUUUGCUUCUCCACAUCGUUUUCUAUGCCAGUCACAAUUCAUUUAUAAUUGUCAUACUUGUGGGAUAAAGAAGUCUCCGACUUUAUAACUUUGUAUAAAUCAGCAUAGAGUAGGACAUGUGGUAUGAAACAGCCUUUGAGUCUCAGUGGCUCACGACAAGACAGGACAAUUUUCUCUCAGUGCCAAUUUCAGGUUGACUACUGUCUGAGUAAUAGUUGUAUGAUGUUUUCUCUUUGGGUGCAAGGCUAAUGGAGUAGCCUCAGUUUAGAACAUUGCAAGUUUGUGGGAGCAGGACAUAGGAACCAUGUCCUGGCUUUUUAAAUAUCUGCCUUAGCUGACAAAGACCACUUCUGUUUACACAUUGCUGAAAAUAAGUCACAUGACAGCGCUCGAGUUCAGCGGCACAGACACCGUGCCUUUGAGGCAAGGGCCCCAACGUGUUUGGCCAAUAGCAAUGUGAUUUGCCUCAACCUCACAAUCAUCACCACUGCUUCCGAACUUAUAUAUACAUUUGGAUGAAGAAAAUUCAGUUGAUUUAGAAAUAGGCAAAACAUAGUUUAUCAUCAUUCCUCUGAAAUUAGGUUGUCAGUUUGAAACAAAUCUCUGUCACAUUGUAAGUCUGAGGGGCAGAGGCAGAGGCAGAGGCAGGGCAAAAUAUACCUCGGAAAUAUGAGCUCCAGAAGGACUUAUCAGAAUGAUAAGAGGCUAUAACAGCUCCUUCUGUACAGUUGCACACACAAGCACUUUUGUCAAUUAUUUUUAUUCAAAUAUAAGGGCCAGUGAUGUAGUGUGUGAAUGUCACAGUUUAAAAGAAUAAGUGGAUGAAAAGAACCAAUUAGGAAAUGCAUUAGGCAGGGCGCCAUUGUGGGAGAAAAUGUUGACUAAGUUCAGGACCCUUGUCUGAGACAUAAGAGAGAAUGCACUCAAAAGAUUUGUGACUCGCUAGUGAAUUUGAAUACCAUCAAGGUGAAAGUCCUCCUUUUAACUAAACAUGUAAUUAUAGUUGGAUUUACUAAUUGAUUUUUAUUGCUAUGAAGUCUUUUUGACUCUAUAAUUAUUUUAAGUAAAUUAUAAAAAUACUUUUAAUUUUAGUAUACUCUCCAAAAAUAUUCAGUUCAUUGAAUACGUCAGUUAAUUGUUUAAAAAGUUUGGUGAAUUACAUUAAUUCCUUUUCUUGUUUGCAGCUAGAUGAUGGUAUCAACCAACCAUAAGGUCUCCAUGCUAUGGAUGAUCUUAGAAAUAAUAAAAUCCAGGUUCACAACUAAUGUGGAAAUUGUCUUCGCUGUGAACUAGUAGCUACUCUUUCUCUUUGUAAGUCUCUCUUAGGGAGCUUGAUAUACAUCACUUGACAGCUUAUUAUAUUGUAAACUCUCCUACUUUUUAGGCAAGUCUUCCAUCAUGUUUACUUAAAGUUCAUUUUAAAACUUCUAGUCUCUUAUCACAGUUCUACCCACGGAGACUAAAACAGAUCUAUUUUGUCUUUUAUGUUAUAUAACUUCAAACAUUUACAAACUUCUAUGGAUUCUUUUGUACCUUUUCCUUACUUUUCCAGAAUAUAUAACUCAAUAUCUCUGAUAUCUUCUGAUAUGGCAAAAUUUAUAGAACCCUUAGUAAGCUGAUCAAAUUCUUCAGGACUCUUAUUCACUGAAGAAAUAUUUAUUGUCUGUGUACCUUAUACUAUCAGAAAUUGUGCUGAUAAAAUGUUGAUCACUCUAAAACAGGUUUUACUCUUAUGAAACUUACUGUUUAGUUGGUAGACAGAUAAUAAGAUAUAAUCACAGAAGUUCACAUACAGUUACAAGCAUGAUACAUUAUCUGAAGGGAGAUUACUGUAUGCUUUCUUAGUACCUUACGUGGCACAAACUCUCUUACAUUAGAUGUUACACUAUGUCUUAUCUGUUUGGCUUGCACAUUAUAUUUUCUCUGUCACAUCCUAAGCUGUAUUAACUCUAUUUGCAGUAGCAUUAAAAUAAGGGCAAGAUACUGGUCAAUAAUAUAUGAUUGCAGUUUUUAAAUGUUAUGAUAUAGAGAACUUUCAAUGAACUUUUUAAUUCUACUUCCAAUUCAUAUUUGCCAUAUUAUUACCUAUUUAAAAAAACUUUAAAGAAAAACCUACCCUGCAAGACACAAAUUCCCGCCCCCCACCCCUGCUGGGGUUUCUUGUAUUUAGUUGGAAUUAUUUAGAUAGAAUUUUAAGUUAAAUUUUAAGCCUAGGUAUAAUGCAAUGUGGAAAGAGAAUAAGGUGUUGUUUUGGUUGACCUUAGAAAUCUAUGGAAGGUGUCAGUUUGGAUCACAAGAGACAAUUGCUAUUUGUUCCUCCUUGCUAAGGGUUGACAAUAAGCCAGAGUGCAAUGACUUAUUGUUUUCACCCAGCCAAGAAGUAAAAGUCUCAUUUUAUUCUUUUUACAACUUAGUAAUCAUAGGAUGCUCAGGAAAAGCCUAAGGUAGAAAAUGUAUUGAACUAGAUAGAACUUAGCAAUUUAAGGAAAACUGCUGUUCUUGUCCUGUAAAAAUGAAAGAGAUGAUUGAAAUUUAAGACAUUAGGAGGUAAAAGAAAUUGAAUUCUCAAGAUUAAUUUUUUAAAGGACCCAAGGAGUUAGUUCUGUUUUUUUUUUUAAAGAAAAGUUGCAGUUGUAACUUGCUAUGAGAAAAUGAAGUCUUCAAAUUCCAUUACAUAAGGAGAAAAACUCCAGUAUUUUAUCUAGAUAAUUUACGUACAGGCAAGGUCCAUUGGAGAUAGUUUUCUAAAAUUUGUCACUGAUGGGGACAGCAAAGGAAAUACAAAUGUUUCUUAGAUUAAUACAGAGUAAGGAUAUUAAGAGUCUAAUUUAAAGGACAUAUUUUCGAAUGAAAUGCCAUGAUGUUAAUUAAUGUUUACUAAUAGGAUAGUAGUUUUAUUUGAUCAGUUUUCUAAAAUCUGAAAGAAAUACUUUAUUUACAUAAAAUAUUAAAAUACAAAAUAUCAAAUAAAAUAAAAAGUUGAUGCUUUUUCUUAUUUAGAAUAAAUGUUGGGACAAUGAAAAUAUGACAAUGGCAAAAAAGAUGGUCAGGAAAAACUGUGACUAGCUGUAUAAAGUCUCCUUUUUUCAUUCAUACCCAAGCUUCAUGCUAAAGCCACUGAACUGAAGUCAAAUACGUUUCCCUGAGUGUGUCUGUUUCUCAGGUAAACAGAGGUGUUGGUUUAUCAUCAGUUUCUGUAUGCGUUCCCCUAAAGUAGCCCACAGUUCGCUUACAAAUCAAUGUUUAAAAUACCUGCGGCUUUGCCUUCCUUAACAGUCCUUUUGUUCAUUUUUUCUCAGAAUGCUAUAUGGGGCUGUCUUGCAGUUGAUCCUGGAUUUGAAACUGACAGCUGUGAACUAGCAGGAAAAUGAUGUGGCAAGAGUUGCCAUUCCUGAAGAGAAUUCAAAGAAGUUCUAUUUGGGCAGACUGUGCUCACUCAUAGAACACAAAUUUUUAUCUUCUGAGUCCCUUUGGGCCAUAUGGACUUCAAAGUGCAAUAUAUAUACACACAUACAUCCGGCUUCUGAAAAAAUGUGAUUGUUGGUUAGCCGAACAAGUAUUUCUCUAGCAGUGCAGCAGACGCUUUCCUUCUGGUGACAUGUGAGAGUGGGUGGGACUGAUAUGUUGAUGUGGCAGAAGUACAUCGUGAACCACGCUGAGGAAGGCAACAUCUGUGAGGAUGGUGGAGAAUUACACGGGAAGAAAACAAAUCCAUAGAAGAAGAUCACAGAGCAAAGCCUCACUUGCAUAGGCUCUUUGGACUUUUAAAUUGUUCCAUGUGCACGAGUCAAACUUAAGGCAUUGUCUUUCAUUUGCUUGUUUGUUUUCCAGCAGUUUAGUCUUUAUCCUAAUAAAACUGCUUAGGAAAAUAUGAGCUGAUUGCUAUUCUUUUAAAGGGAAUGGCUAAACACAAUUGUAAUGGUAAAAAAAAAUCUGCUCAUUUUUCUUUACUUAGAUUGGAUAAGAGACAGAUGGAUUGUAUGGAAAUAAGUAACUUAUAACAUGGUCUUUUUGUUAUGUAAUUUCUCCCAUGCUUAAGAAGUAUUAUAUUAAUCACAGUUCUAAGAAGAGUCAGGUUGACAUUGUCAUAUGAAGUCUUUUCAUGGAUAUCUCCUCCAACUGUCAGAGAAGUAUUAUAUACAUGUAGCAGUGUCAUAGAGCAUACAGUAUAGAUAAAAUAUAUAGUUUAUAGAGUAAAUUGAUUAUACGGUAAAGAGUAUAUAAAGUACACAGCAUGUAGGGUAGAUAGAGUAAUACUAUACAUUACUCUCCAUGUGUUCACAAAUAGAUACAUUCACAUAUUACUUCUACACAGAGAGAAUUUGUUUUCUGAAACCAUUAGAAGAUUUGAAUUUUCACAAGUCACAAAUAACAGAACUUUCAAGGUGUUCUAAAAUUAGACAGAAAAUAGUUACUUAUAAGAAACCAUCCAGAAAUGCAUCAUUAACUCUCAGAAUGUGUAAAUAAAUCUGACAUUUGCCAGAAGCUAAUGAGAUACAUGCUUGCUGUCUAAGUUGUCAAGCAUUCUUUUUGGGAAAUCUUAAAAAGAGAAGCCUUCUAUAUCUGAGUCAUUUACAUGAGACCAAGUCAAAACAUACCAAACAUCAAAAUCAGGUUCCUGUUCUCUAAAGGUAUUUCAUAUGAAGAAGCAAGGUCUCCAUUGUUGGAUAGAUUUGCUUUAGAAUCCUCAUCCCGUGAAUUACUGGUUGUCAUCUUAGGCAAUUUACUUCAUUUCUUGAAGCCUUGUGAACGCUAAAAACUUAGGAGUCAGAACCAACUCUACUGUGGUUUCAGCUACUGGCAAUGCUAUAAAUGUUCUUGCCCUUUCUUUUUCCCCUGCAUUUUCGCCAGUUUAUUUUGUAACUGCUGCCUCCUUUUAGAAUGUAAAAUCCAGUAUCUCAAUUAUCAGCUUAGAUUUAGAUCACUUAUGUCUAAAUGCCUGAUAAAGUAGUUUGGUAUAUACCCCUCGCAACAAAAGUGGAUGCUUUCUGCAUUCAACUCCAUCUCAGAUCUCUUCCUUCAAGGAAAUAUACUUGAAUUUUGGUAGGUGUGCAGAAAAUGAUGCUGUUUGCAUUACUUCAAUCCAGAAGGUCAAAGAGUAUUACAAAUGAUGGACUACAUCAUUAUGACAGCAUGGUGAUGGAGGAACAUGAAAUGUUACUGGCACAUCUGAGUCCCAAAGAAUAUCAGCAAAAAAAUAGUUUCACAAUGACAUCAUAAAAUUACUGUUUAUAAUCACUGGUGGCUCAUUUUAUUUCAAAGUCUUUGGUUUUGUUGAUCAUCUCCAUUAUGUAUCUGUAUUCUAUUUCAGCUCUUUUCAAUAAUUUAUUUACAAUUUCCUUCUUUUUUUGGUUUAGUCAAUCUUUUUCUUGCUAUUUAAAUCAGAUUUCUAUUUCAUUAAUAUUUUAGACUAUUUGUUUUUCAAAUGUAAUCACUUAAGUGCAAUACAGUUUUCUUUUUUAUAGAAACUUUUAGAAGUAUCAAUAUUCUCCUAAGUACCAUUUGGGUGGCAUCCCAUAGUCUACAUCAGUAGUAUUUGCAUUAUCAUUCAGUAUUAAGUAAUUUUGCAUUUUCAAAUAUGGAAAUAUUACAUACUACGAUUUAUUUCUCCCAUAUUAUUUUUCAUUUCCAUGUUAUUUUAUUAUUUUCUUUCCUAUUAUGCAGAUUUCAUAUUCAUUACAUGUUUUUCUUAACAUUUUGGAAAUGAUAUCCUCUAUUUUUUACCUUUUAAGUGGCUAUUAUUGGAAUUAUCAUAUUUAUUUCACUAAAAGUUUAAAGUGAAUAAAUUUCUCCAACCCCUUUUCAAACAAUUAAAUGUCCUCACAAUACUGUAUCUAAGAAUUUCCCUCUCCUGUCUCUCACUAACAUAUAUUACUGUCCACUCUUCUGAUUUCAUCUUAUAGUUACUAAUGGAGACAUUUCACGUUUGCAAUAUCAACAUGUAUUUUGAUUUACCCACGCACUCACAGAUUGUUUUGGGGCAUGCACCACACACUUUUAAUCCUUUUUGUGGGAUAACUUUCUUUCUUUCUGAAUUACAUAUAAAAAUAUAUUAGAAAGAAUUAAUGGAUGGCACAGUCACUGUGUUUUUAUGUAUUUUUUUAAAUGCUCUUAUUUUAGUAUCAUUAUGGAGUGAGAAUAAAGAUAAUUAACUCA